rnacentral:tRNA from 1 species
GGGCUAUUAGCUCAGUGGUAGAGCUGCCGUCUCAUAAACGGCUGCGCGUAGGUUCAAUCCCUGCAUAGCCCACCA